UACGUAGGUCCCGAGCGUUGUCCGGAUUUAUUGGGCGUAAAGCGAGCGCAGGUGGUUUAUUAAGUCUGGUGUAAAAGGCAGUGGCUCAACCAUUGUAUGCAUUGGAAACUGAUAGACUUGAGUGCAGGAGAGGAGAGUGGAAUUCCAUGUGUAGCGGUGAAAUGCGUAGAUAUAUGGAGGAACACCGGUGGCGAAAGCGGCUCUCUGGCCUGUAACUGGCACUGAGGCUCGAAAGCGUGGGGAGCAAACAGG
rnacentral:rRNA from 1 species